GAUGAACGCUGGCGGCGUGCCUAAUACAUGCAAGUCGAGCGAACAGACGAGGAGCUUGCUCCUCUGACGUUAGCGGCGGACGGGUGAGUAACACGUGGAUAACCUACCUAUAAUACUGGGAUAACUUCGGGAAACCGGAGCUAAUACCGGAUAAUAUAUUCAACCGCAUGGUUCAAUAGUGAAAGACGGUUUUGCUGUCACUUAUAGAUGGAUCCGCGCCGCAUUAGCUAGUUGGUAAGGUAACGGCUUACCAAGGCGACGAUGCGUAGCCGACCUGCGAGGGUGAUCGGCCACACUGGAACUGAGACACGGUCCAGACUCCUACGGGAGGCAGCAGUAGGGAAUCUUCUGCAAUGGGCGAAAGCCUGACGGAGCAACGCAGCGUGAGUGAUGAAGGUCUUCGGAUCGUAAAACUCUGUUAUUAGGGAAGAACAAAUGUGUAAGUAACUAUGCACGUCUUGACGGUACCUAAUCAGAAAGCCACGGCUAACUACGUG
rnacentral:rRNA from 1 species